UCCUUGGUGGCUCAGACAGUAAAGCAUCUGCCUACAAUGCAGGAGACCAGGGUUCAAUCCCUGGGUCAGGAA
rnacentral:tRNA from 1 species